GGAGGCGUGCUUACACAUGCAAGUCGAACGAGAAAUCUUUAACUCGCUAGAGAAAGUAAAGUGGCGCACGGGUGAGUAACGCGUGGGUAAUCUGCCUCCGAAUCGGGGAUAGGAUUGCGAAAGCGAUGCUAAUACCGGAUAAAAUCUGGUUGGCUUCGGUGAACCGGAUCAAAGGUGGUCUCUUUAUAAAAGCUACCGUUUGGAGAUGAGCUCGCGUACCAUUAGCUAGUUGGUGAGGUAAAGGCUCACCAAUGCGACGAUGGUUAGCUGGUCUGAGAGGAUGAUCAGCCACACCGGAACUGGAAGCGCGGUCCGGACUCCUACGGGAGGCAGCAGUGAGGAAUUUUGCGCAAUGGGGGAAACCCUGACGCAGCAACGCCGCGUGAGUGAUGAAGGCUUUCGGGUCGUAAAGCUCUGUCAGGCGGGAAGAACCCACCAAGUGUUAAGACCACUUGGUGCUGACGGUACCACCGAAGGAAGCACCGGCUAACUCCGUGCCAGCAGCCGCGGUAAUACGGGGGGUGCGAGCGUUAUUCGGAAUCAUUGGGCGUAAAGGGCGCGCAGGCGGUUUAGUAAGUCAGAUGUGAAAUCCCGGGGCUUAACCCCGGAAGUGCAUAUGAAACUAUGAGACUUGAGUAUGGGAGAGGGAAGCGGAAUUCCUGGUGUAGCGGUGAAAUGCGUAGAUAUCAGGAGGAACACCGGUGGCGAAGGCGGCUUCCUGGACCAAUACUGACGCUGAGGCGCGAAAGGCGUGGGGAGCGAACAGGAUUAGAUACCCCUGGUAGUCCACGCAGUAAAACGUUGAUCACCUAGGUGUAGCGGGUAUUGACCCCUGCUUGUGCCGGAAGUUACGCAGUAAGUUAUCCGACUGGGGAGUACGAUCGCAAGACUGAAUCUCAAAGGAAUUGACGGGGGCCCGCACAAUCGGUGGAGCAUGUGGUUAAAUUCGACGCAACUCGAAGAACCUUACCUGGACUUGACAUCUCGGGAAUUCCGUUGAAAGACGGGAGUGCCUUAACGNAGGAAUCCGAUGACAGGUGCUGCAUGGCNGUCGUCAGCUCGUGUCGUGAGAUGUUGGGUUAAGUCCCGCAACGAGCGCAACCCCUAUCUUCAGUUACCAUCAGGUGAUGCUGGGGACUUUGGAGAUACUGCCCCGGUUAACUCGGAGGAAGCUGGGGAUGACGUCAAGUCCUCAUGGCCUUUAUGUCCAGGGCUACACACGUGCUACAAUGGUAUGUACAAAGGGAAGCGAUCCCGCGAGGAGGAGCUAAUCCCAAAAAGCAUAUCAAAGUUCGGAUCGGAGUCUGCAACUCGACUCCGUGAAGUUGGAAUCGCUAGUAAUCGC
rnacentral:rRNA from 1 species